rnacentral:rRNA from 1 species
AGACCGAUAGCGAACAAGUAGAGUGAUCGAAAGAUGAAAAGCACUUUGAAAAGAGGGUUAAAUAGCACGUGAAAUUGUUGAAAGGGAAGGAUUUAUGACCAGACUUUUUCUGGGGGGAUCAUCCGGUGUUCUCACCGGUGCACUUCCCCCAGUUGAGGCCAGCAUCGGUUUCUGCCGGGGGAUAAAAGCUUUGGGAAUGUGGCUCCUUCGGGAGUGUUAUAGCCCGUUGCAUAAUACCCCUGGCGGGGACCGAGGUUCGCGCAUUGCAAGGAUGCUGGCGUAAUGGUUAUUAAUCACCCGUCUUGAAACACGGACCAAG